ensembl:lncRNA
GUGCAGCGUGGUGUUCCUGUGGCCUGGGGAAAGGCGGAUUUACCUCCUCUGGGCUGGAAGAGGAGCACUGUCCAAAUGGACUGAGAGAAAUGGGGCCCGCUUCAGAGUGUCGAUGUUCCCUGCCCUUCCUUUUGGGUUUCCCCCCACGGCAGCAUCUGAAUCGCAGGCAGCGCUUUCCUGGACUGGCACCUGAGAGGAAAACAAGCUGGAAUCCCUGUGGAUAGGGAGGCUGGCUCUCGUGUCGAGUCCGUCCUGCAAGCGUGUCCUCUGCCCGGCACAGUGCUGAUGAGGUGUGAAGACCUCGGCCCCAGGGUUGUGCUGCACCCUUGCCCUAAGAAGGUUUUGGUUGCUUUUUAUUACUGAAAGGGGCAGAAGCAGCCUGCCACAAUAUCCGACUAUCCUUCAUACCUAGAAGUGGAAAGGAACAAACUGGCUGUGGAGUGGCAGGCUUGGGACUUCUCUCAUUCAACCAAGCAAAUGGUCCUGAAUGAAAAGGAUUUGUCUCUGGAUGCCUUUUCUCUACUGGGUUCUCCUGAGUCUUCAUCCCUUUGGGCUGCUGUGGAUUCUGGAUGCUCCCUUCUAUCAUCUGCAACUGGGAAAGAAGCUGCCAGGAGGCCCACAAAUACCUGCUUCUCUAAAAUCUCAUGGAUUACUGCUUUUGGCAUUGUCAGUGCUGUGGUUUUUACUAAUCUUGUGGAACUGGCUUUGUUGCAUGAAAUCCCAUGAUUUACAGAUGUGGAAAAGCUGCAGUUAUAGCCCAGUGCUAUGGGAUCCCCUUUUUUUUCUGGGCUGUCUUACUCUAAUGGGCAACAUGGCUUUCUGGAGGAGGAGAAGGAAGUCCACGUGCCUGUGUAGAACAAGUCCUGCUGGUCUUAGGGUCCAUGGAGAAGGUUCUGGGUGCGUGGGUCUGGGCCUGUGAGAGGAGAGCCACGAUGCUGCAGUACAGACCAUGCCGAAACACCUAAGAGCACCCUUGCAAGGAUGGGAGCUGCAAGACCCAACGCAGAGAGAGGAAAGCCAGAGGGAAGCAGCUUACCCUGCACUCCCCAGAAAGCUAGGCAGCUUUCAGGAGCUGUGGUAAGCUCCUUCAACCAGCUCUUGCCAUGGAAAACAGCUUCAGCGCCAGCCACCCACUGUGCAUUUGCUGUGAUUCACUUUCCCUGCGCUGUGAGGGGGGUUUCCUCCCAGCGCUGACCUCACUCAGCAGACUCCCACGCAGGGCCGAGAGGACUUAAUUAGAUGCUCUCUGCUGGGCUUUGGAAAUGCUCUUCUUGGCUGGGUGACUUUCAAGCCGGAUAUGGGGGGCUGAAUGGCUAAGUGCUUUCAGGUCAAACAGUAGCUUGAUUUUCUUCCCUGUAAAGGACCAAGUGUUUCCCCAGUUCCAGGGAAGCAGCUGUGGAGUUUUUUAGGGUUUUUUUUGUUUUAUUUUGUUUUUUACCCCUCUGCUCUUCCUCCUGACCUCUUUCUGGAUCUUGGGCUUUUCAUGAGGAUGGUUUGACCCAGCCUGGAGAAUAUGGCAUUCACAACAUGCAGAUUCCUUGCAGUGGGACCUGGAGAGGCAAAAGCCUUCGGAGCCAUGCAGUGUCGGGAGCAGAACAACAGAAGUUAAGCUGUCAGCGACUGGCUGGCGAUUGGAUUGCCCUGGGGCUUUAAACUGUUUGGGAGAGUCUUGUCUUGGGUCGUGCAUUGCGUGGCCUCGCGUCCUUCGAGUCUGCGUAAGCCGAGCGCAGUGCGGAUGGCUCCUUGUGCCGUGGGAGGCUGAACGCGCGCUCCCCGAGGUGCACCCGCACUUGAAAAAUAGCCGAGGUGGGGUUAGAGGAGUGGGUGAAGGAAUGCAUUAGGCCUAACCGCAGCGAGGGGAAUGUCAAGAUGGGGAAAAAUGUCACCCUCAGAAACAAUUAAACUUCUUAAUAAAAUCCGUUGCCUUUCUGAGUGCUCA